GGCAAAGCAGGCCCCAGGGCUCCAGGAGCCAAGUCUGCAACUACCCUGGGCUCCCCUGAAGGACUCCCUCGGAGCCUUUGGGCUUCAUCCUCGCAGGCGGUGCCCAUCCGAGAGCACCUGCGCGGCUGGCUCCCCGGGAGCCGCGGGGGUCGGAGGAUCCCGCACUGCCCCGCGUCCCGCUCCUGGGGCCCCCGCCUGCCCUCGCACCUGGCUGGAACCAGAAACUUGUGCUGGGAGGAGGUGCCCAAAGACCAUAUCUGGAUUUGGCACACCUGGAUUUAAGAUGAGCCCCCUUCCUGACCCUUCCACUGGCUUGCAGGCAGAUGUAUCGGAAGAUUAAAUAUUAAAAAGUAACAUGCAAGAAAAUAACCAGCUGUAUACGACCUUUCAGAAUCGACCACAGAAAUGACUAUUACAUCACAUCAUUCCAGAAAGCUUUUUGUGCAUAGUUAAAGAAAGGAAGAGAGAUCACAGAGAUACUUUACAAGAAUUGGAGCAAAAUGCAGAUGCUAUUUUAUUUUAUUUUAUUAUUGAUUUAUGAUAGUCUUACAGAGAGAGAGAGAGAGAGGCAGAGACAUAGGCAGAGGGAGAAGAAGCAGGCUCCAUGCACCGGGAGCCCGACGUGGGAUUCGAUCUCGGGUCUCCAGGAUCGCGCCCUGGGCCAAAGGCAGGCGCCAAACCACUGGACCACCCGGGGAUCCCCAGAUGCUAUUUUAAUUUGAAGUAUGACGUUUAAUUUUACUUGAAACUGAAGGAAGAGUUGACCUUUCAAGUCAUGUUUCUUGACCACAAUUACCACCUUACUUGUUGAAAGGUACCUCUGAGAGUAAACAAAAAUGGUGAAAAGCAUUAAGAUAUUCAGUCAUUUUUUUUAAAUGAUACAUUUGAAUUGUGUGUGUACGCACACGUGCAUGAUCCUUUCCACUUGCCAAUCUCCCUUGCCCUGCCUCCUGACUUUUGUUACUUAUUUAAUAUUGUUACAUUGUCCAGGAUUAUAAGAAACAUAUUCUGUUCUGUAGAAAUAUAAUUGCAGUUACUUGGUAUACAUUGUAGAUUUAAAUGCAUUCCAAGCCUUUUAUCAAGGAUUCUCCAUUGCAAGCUCUUCAUUUCAAUUCAUCUCUUCAUGGACUGAGUUUCAUCGCUAAGCUGUUUUAUCAAGAAGAGUUUUGGAUGUUUAAGAAUGCCUGCCUGUUGCCUGUACACUGGAACCAGAUCUUGGCCAGGCUCAUGGAACCCCUGCCUCCCUGAGUUGGAAGCAUCUCUGCUCUUCCAAGGUGCUUGUGACCAAAGAAGAUUCUCUGGAAAAAAAAAAUAUGUCAAUUGUUCAGUAACCAGAGAGCUAUGGCCUAAGUGAAGGACUUCAAAUGGUCACAUGGUAGAGAGGCCAGGUGAUGUGCAGCUGGCCAGCCAGCCUUUUCCAGCAUGGCUUUCAGCCCUGAAGGCUGAACGGAUGGGACACAAGCAGGUGAGUGGAAGCCCCACCUGGGGACACACUAGAGAGAUGAGAAGUUAAAAUGUUGUGCUUGUUGGGGAAAAUGUGACCUUCAAAGAGAAUGAGGGAGAUUCGAGAGAGGACACAUGCUUCAUGCUGGCCAAGGCAUUUAAGGAAGUAAGCCAUCAGGACAGGAGACAGCUAACUAGGGAGAAGCAAAUCCACAUGCAGAGUGAUGGUUUUCUUUUGUUUCUUUUUUUAAAGAGAUUUUAUUUAUUCAUGAGAGACACACAGAGAGAGGCAGAGACACAGGCAGAGGGAGAAACGGGCUCCCUAGAGCCUAAUGCGGGACUCGAUCCCAGGACCUCAGGAUCAUACCCUGAGCCAAAGGCAGAUGCUCAACCACUGAGCCACUCAAGAGUCCCCAGAGUGAUGGCUUUCAACUCGGGCCCAGAAGAGCCAUGAAGAAGGGUGGAGAGGAGAAUGGGUCCAGUUGGAGGGGCUGUACCCCCUCCCCACAGACAGCUCCAUUCCAUCUGCCAUAUAUGAUGGGCUUUCACUUCAAGGAAGGGUUCCUCUGCAACUAAAAAUAAGCCUGGAAACCACACCUCUGGUGAGAAUCCAUUCAGAGGGACAAACUGGAUCUGGAAAGGGCUGCUGCUGAAAGGAAUCCAGAGGAAUCAGUGAGUCUGAGUCAAGAUAGCUGAGAGGUAAGGUUUUACCUGCAACCAAGGGGUUGGCCAGGGAAAAUAGAGGCAGGAGUUCAAGGAAACUGACAGAAAUUACUCUAAGUUGAAUUCAGAAUAGAAAUAAAAACAAAUUAGCAAUAAAGAACAGACACACACAAGAAUGAGGCCAUCUGACUGAAGAAUGAAAAUAGAACUAAGGAUCUGGUUAAUGUACAAAACCCAAUCUAGGGACACCUGGGUGGCUCAGUGGUUGAGCAUCUCCCUUUGGUUCAGCUCAUGAUCCUGGGGUCUUUGGAUGAGUCUCGCAUCGGGCUCCCCACAGGGAGCCUGCUUCUCCCCCUGCCUCUGUCUCUGCCUCUCAUGAAUAAAUAAAUAAAAUCUAAAAAAAAAAAAAAAAACAAUCUAGAUGAACUGAUGGACAAGAGGCCAAAGCCCCAUAACUCAGCCGUUUGGUUCAUAUUACUGCUCUACUGAGUAUUCCUUCAUGCUCGCAUAAAAUAGAAGCUCUUAGGAAAGCAGACAAAGCUUUGAGGGGACACUCCUCCAUUCCUUGGUGUGUGACAGAGCUUCUGCUACAGGAUGGGGGGCCCAUUGGUUCAGGACCUGCAUGGGCAGGAUGGUGGAGUAAUCAGAAUAAUGAUCUCCCCAAAGAUAUCCCUCUCCUAAUCCUAGAACCUGUAAAUAUAUUCCCCUACAAACCAAACGGGAUUUUGCAAAUGUGAUUAAGUUAAGGAUCUUGAGACAGAGAAAUUAUCUUGGAUUAUCCAGAUGGGCCCAAUGUAAUCAUGAGUCUUGCUAGAGGGAGUCAGGAAUGUCAAAGAGAGAUGUCACAAUGGAAGCAGAGAUCAGAAUUAAUGCAGCCACAAGGCAAGGAAUUCAGACAGCUUCUAGAACAGGCAGGGAGAUGUGCUCAACCCUACACCCUGCAAAAGGACCACACUCAGCCCUGCCAACAGAAAUUUUAACCCAGAAAGACUGCGUUGGGCUCUAGAACCAUAUAACAGCAAAUUUGCGUUGUGUAAAGCCACACUGUUGUAAUUUUACAGCAGUAGGCCCACCACUUGUCAGAUUUAGGAAUGAAGCUUAUCAGAAGACAAAGCAUGAUUUCAGAGUCACAGCCUGUGUGCAUUCAGUUGGCCUCCAGAAUCUUGGGGUUCUAGGUCUCAGCUAAUGUCCUGUUCCUUCUCUGUGUGGCUCAGCAAUCCUGAGGAAAGCCUGCUGGUGAAUCCCUGAUGUCCCACCCUGGGUCUCACCCUCCCAACAUUAACUGAGGGCCUACUGUGUGCUGGAGCCACAGGGAUACAGCAGGAGUACUUCUUGCCCUCACAGCAGAGUCAGAGAAAUCCAGACAGGAAACAGCAACACCAUUUUCUUCUUCUUGCAAGACAGAAACUGUGGAGUCAUCUUUGAAUGUUCACGUUUCCUCACCUCUGUAGGAUGUGUGGCCAAAUCCUGCAUCCUCAGAAACUUCUGCACAGCCGGGCUCUCUUUUCCCUCCCUCCUGCCUCUGCUCUAGUCCAGGGCUUUUCCAGCUCCCAAUCUGUCUCCUCAACAUGACUCUCUCGAGCUCAUCACCCACACUACUACCUGAUGGCUUCCUCAAAACCACGCUGGCCACAUAUUGGCUGCUGGCUGCCCAGAGAGAACGACUUUGAAGAGUAUCAUGAUGUGCAAGGCAGAUGAGAUCCUGCCUUCAAGGGGCUCAGAGUCUGGAGACAGGCAGUGAGCAGAAGAGGAUUUAUCUGCAAGAUUUCAGAUAAAGGAUUUUAUUAACACAUUUCUAUAAAGCAGCAGCUGGAAGGAUGAAUGCUUAUGUAUGAAGCAGAGUGCAUGAAGACCAGAACCCUCACAGAGAGGACUACAUCCACCUAUUCACACACCCUCCCUGCCUCUGGACUCAGAGACCACCGAUGCCACAUAGAGCAAGCAUCAGAAGAGGAGCUAAAAGCCAGAGGUUAACUGGCCACCUACAUAUUGAAUACUUCUCCCUAUCCAUCUUUCCAAGCAAGUGUGGAUCAGGGUUAAUUUUAAAAGAUCCACACCUGGACAUUUCAUAGUGAUAUGCCAAAGCUAUAAGGAUAAAGAAAAUAUACUAAAAGCUCCCUUAAAUGAAAAGAAAAAAGUCUCCAUACAAGAAAAUGUCAGAAUGGCAUUAGACUUCUCAAUAGUAACAUUGGUUGCUUGGAAGAAAAUGGAGCAUGUCUUCAAAGUUCUCAUGGAAAACUAUUUCAACCCAGAAUUCUAUACCAAGUGAACCUGUCAGUUCAGCAUAAGGGAGAAUAAAGAAAUGUUCAGACAUUU